GCUGGGAUAGCUCAGUCAGUAGACCAUGAGCAUCUUAAUCUCAGGGUUGUGGGUUCGAGCCCCACAUUGGGCA